rnacentral:rRNA from 1 species
GACGAACGCUGGCGGCGUGCUUAACACAUGCAAGUCGAACGGAAAGGCCUAGCUUGCUGGGUACUCGAGUGGCGAACGGGUGAGUAACACGUGGGUGAUCUGCCCUGCACUUUGGGAUAAGCCUGGGAAACUGGGUCUAAUACCGGAUAUGACCAUGGGAUGCAUGUCUUGUGGUGGAAAGCUUUUGCGGUGUGGGAUGGGCCCGCGGCCUAUCAGCUUGUUGGUGGGGUAAUGGCCUACCAAGGCGACGACGGGUAGCCGACCUGAGAGGGUGGUCGGCCACACUGGGACUGAGACACGGCCCAGACUCCUACGGGAGGCAGCAGUGGGGAAUAUUGCACAAUGGGCGCAAGCCUGAUGCAGCGACGCCGCGUGGGGGAUGACGGCCUUCGGGUUGUAAACCUCUUUCGCCAGGGACGAAGCUUUCGGGUGACGGUACCUGGAGAAGAAGCACCGGCCAACUACGUGCCAGCAGCCGCGGUAACAC